rnacentral:rRNA from 1 species
CGUGACCGACCUGCCCCAUACACCGGAAUAGCUCCUGGAAACGGGUGGUAAUGCCGGAUGCUCCAGUUGAUCGCAUGGUCUUCUGGGAAAGCUUUCGCGGUAUGGGAUGGGGUCGCGUCCUAUCAGCUUGACGGCGGGGUAACNGCCCACCGUGGCUUCNACGGGUAGCCGGNCUGAGAGGGCGACCGGCCACAUUGGGACUGANAUACGGCCCANACUCCUACGGGAGGCAGCAGUGGGGAAUAUUGCACAAUGGGCGCAAGCCUGAUGCAGCGACCCCNCGUGAGGGAUGGAGGCCUUCNGGUUGUAAACCUCUUUUAUCGGGGAGCAAGCGAGAGUGAGUUUACCCGUUGAAUAAGCACCGGCUAACUACNUGCCAGCAGCCGCGGUAAUACGUAGGGUGCAAGCGUUAUCCGGAAUUAUUGGGCGUAAAGGGCUCGUAGGCGGUUCGUCGCGUCCGGUGUGAAAGUCCAUCGCUUAACGGUGGAUCCGCGCCGGGUACGGGCGGGCUUGAGUGCGGUAGGGGAGACUGGAAUUCCCGGUGUAACGGUGGAAUGUGUAGAUAUCGGGAAGAACACCAAUGGCGAAGGCAGGUCUCUGGGCCGUUACUGACGCUGAGGAGCGAAAGCGUGGGGAGCGAACAGGAUUAGAUACCCUGGUAGUCCACGCCGUAAACGGUGGAUGCUGGAUGUGGGGCCCGUUCCACGGGUUCCGUGUCGGAGCUAACGCGUUAAGCAUCCCGCCUGGGGAGUACGGCCGCAAGGCUAAAACUCAAAGAAAUUGACGGGGGCCCGCACAAGCGGCGGAGCAUGCGGAUUAAUUCGAUGCAACGCGAAGAACCUUACCUGGGCUUGACAUGUUCCCGACGGUCGUAGAGAUACGGCUUCCCUUCGGGGCGGGUUCACAGGUGGUGCAUGGUCGUCGUCAGCUCGUGUCGUGAGAUGUUGGGUUAAGUCCCGCAACGAGCGCAACCCUCGCCCCGUGUUGCCAGCGGAUUAUGCCGGGAACUCACGGGGGACCGCCGGGGUUAACUCGGAGGAAGGUGGGGAUGACGUCAGAUCAUCAUGCCCCUUACGUCCAGGGCUUCACGCAUGCUACAAUGGCCGGUACAACGGGAUGCGACGCGGCGACGCGGAGCGGAUCCCUGAAAACCGGUCUCAGUUCG